rnacentral:rRNA from 1 species
UACAGAGGUGGCAAGCGUUGUUCGGAAUUACUGGGCGUAAAGGGCGCGUAGGCGGUCCGAUAAGUCCCGUGUGAAAUCCCUCGGCUCAACUGAGGAAUGGCACGGGAAACUGACGGGCUUGAGUUCGGGAGAGGGAAGCGGAAUUCCGGGUGUAGCGGUGAAAUGCGUAGAUAUCCGGAGGAACACCGGUGGCGAAGGCGGCUUCCUGGACCGACACUGACGCUGAGGCGCGAAAGCUAGGGGAGCAAACAGG